UGUCGCGACGUGGGGGCGUGGCCUCACGGAUAAACGCGCAGGUGCCCGCAAUCAGCUGAUGACAAAGUGCAUAUCAGGUGUGCACGCGCAGCUCCUUCUCAUCACGCUGCUCCUCAGACACCACGUUGGUUCGGUGCCUUCAGAACGUCUUCAGAAUCAGAGCAUCCUUCAGCCACAGAAGCAAAGACGAGCCACAAACACGAACCUUAGCAGCGUUUACACUUCACUUCCGUCAGCAAACGUUUCUGGCAAAGGGAAGCUUUUGGUUUUUAAAAGUCGCGCGUGGCGCAAAUGCGGUGUGUGACGUCAGGCGCACCGAAGUCUCCAUUAGCAUACUGUAACACUCUCAAGUGUUUUAACUGUUAGCACGGAUUUAAACGGUGAAGACGGCGUAUCGACCUGGUCCAGAAUCAAGAUUUAACCAGAAAGACAUCGGAGAUGUGGUCGAGCUCAUCCGGACUCAACAAAGACCUGAGACUUAUCUGAGAACAGAUCGAUCGUUUUGAAGCGUCAAACAGUAAGGUCAAAGUUUUUUAUCCUGGGUGGCUGCCGUGCCCUCACUUUCGUCUUUCCUCACCGCGCUUUCCUGGGCCGCCGUGCCGUCACUUCCAGCUUUCCUGGGCCGCCGUGCCCUCACGUCGCGCUUUCCUUGGCCGCCGUGCCCCUACUGCCUUUUCAUUUCAGGUGUGUCUACAUAAGGUAAGAGUCACUUUUAUAUUUUUUCUGAAUGGCCGCCGUGUCAUUGAUUACAUUUUUAUUUUUGGAGUGUCUUUCAUCAAAUCAACAGGGGUUUAAACUAAAAACAGAGCAAAGGGUAAAACAAAACUACAACUUUUAAAACUUCAAAUGCACCAAACAAACCAAACCUCAGUCUGCUCCUACACUCACCUCGGCAGUCUAUAAAACUAUACUUUUACAAAACCCGGGUCAAAUCUGUGGUCAUGUCAACAUGAGUUCAGCAUUUCUUUAUUUCCUGGUGUAUUACUAAACAAAGGGUCAUGGUGGAUCUUCAUAAACAGUUUUUUGGGUUAUGGUUUUACAUUUCUAUUUCAGCUCCUCCAACCAAGAUAAACAUUUUGUCCAACACAGCUGUCUAAUUUUAAAAGGAUUGCAUUAAUUUUCACGUCGGCAUUUUUUCCCGUGUCGGUCUCAACUUGCGUACAUCCGUCGGUCUAAAAUCCAAACUCUAGGCAUUUUAUUUUCCCUCUUUAUCUCUGAUGGUUCUCUUGUGUGAAUGCAUUUCUUGUCUUGGUCCAAUAAAGUGCAAUUUGAUUUCAAAGAGGCUUUAUUGGAGCAAACAGAAAUUGUUAUAAUAUUAAGCAGCACCUAACAUGAAAGCUGGCAGUUGAGUAAUAAAUCCACAAAUCUAUAGCAAGUUAAUUGAUUUCAAUUCACAAAUAUGUAUAGGACGUAAAUUAAGUUCAACGGUCUAUUUGUGAAUUCAGUGUAUU